rnacentral:rRNA from 1 species
UUAGAGUUUGAUCCUGGCUCAGGAUGAACGCUAGCUACAGGCUUAACACAUGCAAGUCGAGGGGAAACGACAUCGAAAGCUUGCUUUUGAUGGGCGCCGACCGGCGCACGGGUGAGUAACGCGUAUCCAACCUGCCCAUCACUUGGGGAUAACCUUGCGAAAGUAAGACUAAUACCCAAUGACGUCUCUAGAAGACAUCUGAAAGAGAUUAAAGAUUUAUCGGUGAUGGAUGGGGAUGCGUCUGAUUAGCUUGUUGGCGGGGUAACGGCCCACCAAGGCGACGAUCAGUAGGGGUUCUGAGAGGAAGGUCCCCCACAUUGGAACUGAGACACGGUCCAAACUCCUACGGGAGGCAGCAGUGAGGAAUAUUGGUCAAUGGGCGAGAGCCUGAACCAGCCAAGUAGCGUGCAGGAUGACGGCCCUAUGGGUUGUAAACUGCUUUUAUAAGGGAAUAAAGUGAGUCUCGUGAGGCUUUUUGCAUGUACCUUAUGAAUAAGGACCGGCUAAUUCCGUGCCAGCAGCCGCGGUAAUACGGAAGGUCCGGGCGUUAUCCGGAUUUAUUGGGUUUAAAGGGAGCGUAGGCCGGAGAUUAAGCGUGUUGUGAAAUGUAGACGCUCAACGUCUGCACUGCAGCGCGAACUGGUUUCCUUGAGUACGCACAAAGUGGGCGGAAUUCGUGGUGUAGCGGUGAAAUGCUUAGAUAUCACGAAGAACUCCGAUUGCGAAGGCAGCUCACUGGAGCGCAACUGACGCUGAAGCUCGAAAGUGCGGGUAUCGAACAGGAUUAGAUACCCUGGUAGUCCGCACGGUAAACGAUGGAUGCCCGCUGUUGGUCUGAAUAGGUCAGCGGCCAAGCGAAAGCAUUAAGCAUCCCACCUGGGGAGUACGCCGGCAACGGUGAAACUCAAAGGAAUUGACGGAA